rnacentral:rRNA from 1 species
AUAAUGGGUCAGCGACUUAUAUUCUGUAGCAAGGUUAACCGAAUAGGGGAGCCGAAGGGAAACCGAGUCUUAACUGGGCGUUAAGUUGCAGGGUAUAGACCCGAAACCCGGUGAUCUAGCCAUGGGCAGGUUGAAGGUUGGGUAACACUAACUGGAGGACCGAACCGACUAAUGUUGAAAAAUUAGCGGAUGACUUGUGGCUGGGGGUGAAAGGCCAAUCAAACCGGGAGAUAGCUGGUUCUCCCCGAAAGCUAUUUAGGUAGCGCCUCGUGAAUUCAUCUCCGGGGGUAGAGCACUGUUUCGGCAAGGGGGUCAUCCCGACUUACCAACCCGAUGCAAACUGCGAAUACCGGAGAAUGUUAUCACGGGAGACACACGGCGGGUGCUAACGUCCGUCGUGAAGAGGGAAACAACCCAGACCGCCAGCUAAGGUCCCAAAGUCAUGGUUAAGUGGGAAACGAUGUGGGAAGGCCCAGACAGCCAGGAUGUUGGCUUAGAAGCAGCCAUCAUUUAAAGAAAGCGUAAUAGCUCACUGGUCGAGUCGGCCUGCGCGGAAGAUGUAACGGGGCUAAACCAUGCACCGAAGCUGCGGCAGCGACGCUUAUGCGUUGUUGGGUAGGGGAGCGUUCUGUAAGCCUGCGAAGGUGUGCUGUGAGGCAUGCUGGAGGUAUCAGAAGUGCGAAUGCUGACAUAAGUAACGAUAAAGCGGGUGAAAAGCCCGCUCGCCGGAAGACCAAGGGUUCCUGUCCAACGUUAAUCGGGGCAGGGUGAGUCGACCCCUAAGGCGAGGCCGA